rnacentral:rRNA from 1 species
UACGAAGGGGGCUAGGCGUUGCUCGGAAUGACUGGGCGUAAAGGGGCGCGUAGGCGGUUUGCACAGUCAGGCGUGAAAUUCCUGGGCUUAACCUGGGGGCUGCGCUUGAUACGUGUGGACUGGAGUGCGGAAGAGGGUCGUGGAAUUCCCAGUGUAGAGGUGAAAUUCGUAGAUAUUGGGUAGAACACCGGUGGCGAAGGCGGCGACCUGGUCCGUGACUGACGCUGAGGCGCGAAAGCGUGGGGAGCAAACAGG